rnacentral:rRNA from 1 species
UACGUAGGGGGCAAGCGUUGUCCGGAAUUAUUGGGCGUAAAGGGCACGCAGGCGGUUUCGUCAGUCCGAUGUGACAGGCCACGGCUCAACCGUGGAAGGCCAUUGGAACUGCGAAACUUGAGGACAGAAGAGGAGAGUGGAAUUCCACGUGUAGCGGUGAAAUGCGUAGAUAUGUGGAGGAACACCAGUGGCGAAGGCGACUCUCUGGUCUGUACCUGACGCUGAGGUGCGAAAGCAUGGGGAGCAAACAGG